UAAACUAACAAAGUCAUACACCUAAAUAAAUUUUUAAUUGCAGUUUUUAAGCCAAACCUAACGCUAUGAACAUCAUAAAAACGAUCCAACAUGUACAAACAAUUCCAAACAUUGCUAAAAAGUAUUGCUCAAAUAACCCAGAUUCAUCUUCUUCCAUUGGUAAUCAACAUCGUUGAAAAAUAAACUUUUCCAGAGAGGAGACCAUCUUGUGUUGUUAGGACUUUCACUAGUGAAGACGAUGUACAUAUCUACAACAUCUAACGGUUUUUGCACGUACAACACAUUUUGUAUAAGAGUAACAAACAAGAUGAGUGAUGAGUUCAAAAGAGGCAUUACACUUGAAACGCAG